rnacentral:rRNA from 1 species
GACGAACGCUGGCGGCGUGCUUAACACAUGCAAGUCGAACGAAGUGGCGAACGGGUGAGUAAUGCGUAAUCAACCUGCCCUUCAGUGGGGGACAAUAGUUGGAAAAGACUGCUAAUACCGCAUACUGAAGGAGGAGAUUGUGUCUGAUUAGCUAGUUGGGGGGGGCACGGCCCCCCAAGGCGCUGAUAAGUAGCCGUUCGGAGAGGGUGCACGGCCACACUGGGACGGAGACACGGCCCAGACUCCUACGGGAGGCAGCAGUGGGGAAUCUUCGGCAAUGGACGGAAGUCUGACGGAGCAACGCCGCGUGAGUGAUGACGGCCUUCGGGUUGUAAAGCUCUGUUAAUCGGGACGCGGUACCGGAAUAGAAAGCCACGGCUAACUACGUGCCAGCCGCCGCGGUAAUAC